rnacentral:rRNA from 1 species
UGGGGAAUAUUGGACAAUGGGCGAAAGCCUGAUCCAGCCAUGCCGCGUGUGUGAAGAAGGUCUUCGGAUUGUAAAGCACUUUAAGUUGGGAGGAAGGGCAUUAACCUAAUACGUUAGUGUUUUGACGUUACCGACAGAAUAAGCACCGGCUAACUCUGUGCCAGCAGCCGCGGUAAUACAGAGGGUGCAAGCGUUAAUCGGAAUUACUGGGCGUAAAGCGCGCGUAGGUGGUUUGUUAAGUUGGAUGUGAAAGCCCCGGGCUCAACCUGGGAACUGCAUCCAAAACUGGCAAGCUAGAGUACGGUAGAGGGUGGUGGAAUUUCCUGUGUAGCGGUGAAAUGCGUAGAUAUAGGAAGGAACACCAGUGGCGAAGGCAACCACCUGGACUGAUACUGACACUGAGGUGCGAAAGCGUGGGGAGCAAACA